UGGGGAAUAUUGCACAAUGGGCGCAAGCCUGAUGCAGCCAUGCCGCGUGUAUGAAGAAGGCCUUCGGGUUGUAAAGUACUUUCAGCGGGGAGGAAGGGAGUAAAGUUAAUACCUUUGCUCAUUGACGUUACCCGCAGAAGAAGCACCGGCUAACUCCGUGCCAGCAGCCGCGGUAAUACGGAGGGUGUAAGCGUUAAUCGGAAUUACUGGGCGUAAAGCGCACGCAGGCGGUUUGUUAAGUCAGAUGUGAAAUCCUCGGGCUCAACCUGGGAACUGCAUCUGAUACUGGCAAGCUUGAGUCUCGUAGAGGGGGGUAGAAUUCCAGGUGUAGCGGUGAAAUGCGUAGAGAUCUGGAGGAAUACCGGUGGCGAAGGCGGCCCCCUGGACGAAGACUGACGCUCAGGUGCGAAAGCGUGGGGAGCAAACAGG
rnacentral:rRNA from 1 species